rnacentral:rRNA from 1 species
AGUGAACGCUGGCGGUAGGCCUAACACAUGCAAGUCGAACGGCAGCACAGUAAGAGCUUGCUCUUACGGGUGGCGAGUGGCGGACGGGUGAGGAAUACAUCGGAAUCUACUUUUUCGUGGGGGAUAACGUAGGGAAACUUACGCUAAUACCGCAUACGACCUACGGGUGAAAGCAGGGGAUCUUCGGACCUUGCGCGAUUGAAUGAGCCGAUGUCGGAUUAGCUAGUUGGCGGGGUAAAGGCCCACCAAGGCGACGAUCCGUAGCUGGUCUGAGAGGAUGAUCAGCCAACACUGAACCGGGAACCCGUCCAGACUCCUCAGGGAGGGCGCAGUGGGGAAUUUUGGAAAAAGGGGCGCAGCCUGAUCCCGCCCUUCCGGGGGGGGGAAAAAGGCCUUCGGGUUGUAAAACCCUUUUUUUGGGAAAAAAAAGGCGCCAGUUAAUACCCCGCUGUUCUGACGGUACCCAAAGAAUAAGCACCGGCUAACUUCGUG